rnacentral:rRNA from 1 species
AAACCGGUGUCGGCUGAGCUGGCCUCUUCAGAGGCAUGUGCACGGCCACGCCAUUGUUUCAUCCUUCUCUUCCACCUGUGCACUUCUGUGGGCCCGCUCCAGCGCACCUUGUGUGCUGGAAUCCGGUGCCUACGUUUUACUAUCUACACCAUUGAAUGUUCAGAACGUAUGAAUAAGGCAUUCCUGCCUAUAAAACCUUAUACAACUUUCAACAACGGAUCUCUUGGCUCUCGCAUCGAUGAAGAACGCAGCGAAAUGCGAUAAGUAAUGUGAAUUGCAGAAUUCAGUGAAUCAUCGAAUCUUUGAACGCACCUUGCGCUCCUUGGCAUUCCGAGGAGCAUGCCUGUUUGAGUGUCAUUAAAUCAUCAACCUCCUCAUCUUUGAGAGGGUUGGACUUGGAGGCUCUGCUGGCCCUCUACGGGACCCGGCUCCUCUGAAAAGCAUUAGCAGGGGCUCAUCUUGUGCGAUCUGCAGCCUUGUGUGAUAGUUAUCUACACUCGGCGCGGUCACAUUCACCCAGCUUCUAGCCGUCCACUCGGACAACACAC